rnacentral:lncRNA from 1 species
UUUCUAGAUGACAUUUACUCGAACGUAAAGAUUCGAUAUAGGUUGUGUUCCUAGUAAAACAGGAAAAGGUGGACCUAUUAAUGGCCAGCAGGCGCAGGUCGCAACAGAUAAAGUGCUAGAUAUUGAUACCAAAAGAAUCAUUGCCUUUUGGAAGCGCAUUCGUGAUGAUGCCUUCAGAGUGCUGGAUGACUUGAAGAACGAAGGAGACGUUUCAAAUUACGUUAUAGAAUAUCAAGAAUUAUUCGAGAGAUUUUGUAAACUUUACAAUGUUUUGGGGGGAAAUAUUCCGAAGUAUAGAUUUUCAAUAAAAGGCGACGCAAACGUUGUUCCGUUUCCUUUGCCUGCAUAUCUGCACGGGCAGACAUUGUCGACUAGACCUUGGAUGAAAAAAUGGGUGAAA